UUGUUCACUGAAGACUCGAGGUCUACCCAAAAAAAAAGGAAACAAAAAGUUGCUUAUUGCGUUCAUACAUUCGCCCGCACAUAAAAUAAAAUAGAGCAGCUAGUUAUUUCAUUUUCUUGAAUCAUGUGCUAGUGCCACCCAUUGUUUUGCUUUUGCUCGUGUUUAUUUCAUUACGAUGAACUGGAAUGAUAUAUGUUUAUAUAUAUUCUUUAAAAAUAGGGCUUCUUCGUCCAAUAACCAAAUUCAUAAUAAAAAUUAGGUGGAUUGACAUUGAUGUUGACAUAAUGAAAAAAUUAUCAUUUAUGCUAUAAUUUAUCCGGUUAUAUCCUCUUUAAUUACAAGUGACCGGUGAAAAAAAAAGAGAUAACGUCAUAUGUUUUAAGGUGUGGACACUUUAAUAGCUAACUGUUCAGAAUGAGAGAUAUGGAAGACAUCCACGUAACUUGUGUUUAUUACCACAUACAAUUUUAAAUUAGAUUAGUGAUGUGGUUUCAUGAAAUAAAUAAAUAAAUUAAUGGUAUAAAAACUGAAAUGAAUUUAGUGCAUAAUGAAAAAUAAAAGGAUGGUUUCAUUUCAUAUGAGAAAUAAUAUAUGACUCUAACCCAACACACAACUCUUAAAUGUUAAACCCAUACGUAACUUUUGAAUACUAAACCCUAAACUGUUAUCACUAAACUCAAACCUCAAUCCCCACCUUCCAAAUACUAAACCCUAAAUGCUAAUCACUAAACCCUAAAUCUUAAUCACUAAACCCUAAACCCAAAUAUAGACCCUAAACCCAAGUGACCCUAAACCCAGAUAGAAUGUAACAAAAAAUAUAAUAUGGUUUACUAAACCCAAACAUCUACUUACUAAAUUUAAACCUUAUGCAUGAACC
rnacentral:lncRNA from 1 species